CACAGAUGUGACAGAUUUGUUCAGGUGUUGCAGUUUCUCUGCUAAGCUUUUUCCUCCCUCGCUCACCCUCCCUUUUGUUGUAGCAGGUAAAAGCCAAAUGCCUAGGGGCCAUAAAAGGCACUUGUGUGCUGCUUUUACAAAUAGCAGCGUGGCGUGGGUAAUUAUGUUGCAAAGUGUUGUUAAUGGAGAGGCGCUGGAAGUGAGGUGCAACCAGAUAGAGAAUUAAGAGUGUGAGAUCCACUGCAGCUAGCAUUUGGUGUGAAUUUUAAGUUUAAAUUGGGGUGUAUAAACUUUUUCUACCAAGGGCUGCAGACCGAAAAAUCAAAAGGAUUAAGGGCCACUUUGACAUUCUUCACCUUUAAAAUAUAUAACCCGGUAACCAAUCCACCAGUGUAGGUAAAGAUUGACAUAUUGUGUGUAUAUAUAGUCAACUUUUCAGGAUUUUGGAGUGGCCAGCGGCCAUGUAUGCUACCAGAUUGACCCCUGACCCCUGUACUGAGCAGCAACAGAAUCACAUCUCCACGUCUGAACCAAAACAAGAACAAUCUAACAAGUUAACCUCGACAUGAAGCAGAAGGAGGAGCAAACAAUCGCUCUUUGCUGUUGUGAUGGAAUGAUCUGUGAUUUUGCUGAUUUUGUUUAGAUUAGAUUUAGUUUUUGUUUUGUCAUGUCAUAUUUUCCCUUGUCAACGCCAUGGCUUGUCUUACUCGUUAGGUUUUUGUUUCCACCUGUUCUCGUCAGCCCCGUCUCUUGUGUUGACCAAUCAGCUGCUUGCAGCCACUCAUAUCUUGUCCAGGUGCUCCUCGUUGCCUGUCACUUUUCUUGUAUUUAGUUCCCUGUUUUCACUCACUCUGUGUUGGUGCAUUGUCAUCAUUUCUCAUGUCAUGUUUCUUUGUGUCUGGUUUGGUGUUGCUACAAAAGGACAAAAAUCAGGCUCCAACGGACAGUUAAGACUGCCAAGAGGUUCAUCAGUACUCGCCUACCCACUCUUGAGGACUUGGAUGCUGCAAAAACUAAAUAAAAGAUCAAACACUUCUACACUGUGAAAAACGUACCAUUUUCAUCAUGAAUGCCGCCGUCCGGAGUCCCGUGGCGUUGCAGCUCAUCCUCCGGGGCCUCUGGGUAAAUGACGGCUGUGUCCCCUUGCUGCAGCAUCUC